GGCCUUUCCACACGCUUGUCCCUGACCUGCCACAAAAUGUCCUGUUGAUGGAUCGCAUUCACAGAGUGGCAAAGCCCCAAUACCUACCUGCUGAUACGCCAAGAGAUAUCGUCUUGAAGAUGCAUUACUACCAUGCAAAGGAGGCGGUCCUGAGAGCGAGCCGCACACGAAAGGACAUACCUACAGAAUUUCAAAAGGUGGGAAUCUUCGCGGACAUCUCUGCUAUGACGCUGAGGAAGAGAAAGACUUUUGGCGCUAUCACCGCGGCUCUGAGAGACAGCAACAUCGCAUACAGGUGGGGAUACCCGACCAAGUUGCUGGUCCAACGCAACGGCACUCUUACAGCCAUCACAUCCCCAGAGGAAGGUCUCCUGAAG